rnacentral:rRNA from 1 species
GAUAUCGCACAAUGGGGGAAACCCUGAUGCAGCGACGCCGCGUGAGCGAAGAAGGCCUUCGGGUCGUAAAGCUCUGUUUCGAGGGAAGAAAAUGACGGUACCUCGGGAGAAAGCCCCGGCUAACUACGUGCCAGCAGCCGCGGUAAUACGUAGGGGGCAAGCGUUAUCCGGAAUCAUUGGGCGUAAAGGGUGCGUAGGUGGUCAAUAAAGUCAGAGGUGAAAGGCUAGGGCUCAACCGUAGUAAGCCUUUGAAACUUAUUGACUUGAGUGCAGGAGAGGUGAGUGGAAUUCCUAGUGUAGCGGUGAAAUGCGUAGAUAUUAGGAGGAACACCAGUGGCGAAGGCGACUCUCUGGACUGUAACUGACGCUGAGGCACGAAAGCGUGGGUAGCGAACA